AGCGAACGUUAGCGGCGCGCCUAACACAUGCAAGUCGCACGAGAAAGGGAGCAAUCCCCGGUACAGUGGCGCACGGGUGAGUAACACGUAGAUGACCUUCCCUGGAGUGGUGGAUAACCUGCCGAAAGGCGGGCUAAUACAGCAUGGGACCACAUGGUUUUGACCGAGUGGUGAAAGCGGGCCUCUGUUCACAAGCUCGCGCUCUGGGAUGGGUCUGCGUCCCAUCAGCUAGCUGGUGAGGUAAUGGCUCACCAAGGCAUCGACGGGUAGCUGGUCUGAGAGGAUGACCAGCCACACUGGAACUGAGACACGGUCCAGACUCCUACGGGAGGCAGCAGUGGGGAAUCUUGCGCAAUGGGCGAAAGCCUGACGCAGCGACGCCGCGUGGGUGAUGAAGGCCUCGGUGUAAGACCGUCUGGAGGAGGAACGUACGGGACGGA
rnacentral:rRNA from 1 species